CGCUGCCCCGCCGGCUCGGCAGCACUCGCAGCCGGCGAUCCGCUGGUGCAGCUCCACGAUCCGCCUGCCCAUCCGCGCCGCCUCCGCGGCCUUCCUCUCCGCCUCGGCGCACAGCCUGGCCACCAGAUCCUCCGCCUCCGCGCGCGGGCUGGGUGCUGGGGCCCGGGCGCCCUGCUCCUCCGCCUCCAUCUCGCUCUUGAUGGCGUCGAGCAGGCUCUGGAUCUCCAGCAGCUCCCUGCGGGCCCGCUAGUGCGCCCGGGCACGCUCGCACUCCAGGGAGGCCAGGUCCUCGCCGCCCACGCGGGGCGCCGGGCCACCUGGGUCUUUGCGGGCUCUCGCCUGGUCCGUGUCCACGUCAGGCAGGAGAACAGGGUCUGGAGGCCAAGGACCAGGACAACCCACUCAAGGCCCUCCUCACGGUAACGCAAGGCCACAGCGCCGCCGCCCCUUCCCGCCCCGGGCCAGCCGGGCACCCACCAGCCGUGCGCGGACACCUCGCUGUCACCCGCGACAAGUUCUUGAAGUUCC
rnacentral:lncRNA from 1 species